rnacentral:rRNA from 1 species
UACGAAGGGGGCGAGCGUUGUUCGGAAUUACUGGGCGUAAAGGGCGCGCAGGCGGCUCUUCAAGUCAGGCGUGAAAGCCCCGGGCUUAACCUGGGAAUUGCGCUUGGGACUGGAGGGCUUGAGUACGGGAGAGGAGAGUGGAAUUCCCAGUGUAGAGGUGAAAUUCGUAGAUAUUGGGAAGAACACCGGUGGCGAAGGCGGCUCUCUGGACCGUAACUGGACGCUGAGGCGCGAAAAGCGUGGGGAGCAAACAGGGA